CACACACACACACACACACACACACAAACACACACAGCAGGACUGAAAAUAAAAACCUAAAAGUGUCGGUUCCACGCGUCAGUGUGUCAUUUACUCAACCACAGGAUGGUGCUGCAGAGCAAGGAGAACAACGGUUGACUGGUUGUGUGUGGAUGAAACCAGCCUCAUGCUCGGAGGCUCACCAGGCUUCUACAAGGCAACCUCUGAAACGGCCUGAGCAGCAGAUGGACACGUGGCUGAUUCACCCAAUCAGGUGUGAGAUCAACUACAACAGUGGCAGCUGAAACGAAUAAAACCUUGUUUCUCCGUCUUCUGACUUGUUAUUGGUGGGAUAUAAAAGGCAGCAACGUGUGAGGAGCUGACAGCUGAUAAGUUCCAGUAUCUGUGUAGUCACUCCAUGUAUUCGUUCAAUCCUGUUUUUCUAUACGUUCCUGGACGUUGCCGACACGAGUUAUAUAACGUGAUAAUCCGCCACGUUCGAGUUCUUCUGAAUAACUCCCCAGCGUCAUCAGUCUUCAUUUACAGUCCCUUUGAUCUCCCGUGGAGCGGCGCGCGGAGGUGGGGGCGCAGUUGGGACACGUCAGCGACAGCACAGUGCAGGUCUCAUCAUGUACCGACACAGGCGACAGCUGUGGAAGCUCCGCACACGCACCUCUGCACUGGAACAAUGAAUGACUGAAACGCUUUGAGAGCCACAGAGGAGGGAAAUCAUGUCAAACAUCAAACUCAACAGAUCUGACUGAACACACCCUCCGUGGGGAGGAGCCGCGGCUAUUGUUCCUGCUGCGACUGGAGGUGGUCUGACCUCAGCCCGGCGCUCAGGCCUCGUUUAUUGGCUGUUUCUGUGGCAACAAUCAACGGCCGCCACUUCAAUAGAAGGAGUAGCAGAAGGGAGUAACAGGAGCCGUAACAGGAGCCUCCUUCCCCC